rnacentral:tRNA from 1 species
GAGGCUCAGUUGGUAGAGCGCACCCUUGGUAAGGGUGAGGUCCCCAGUUCGACUCUGGGUAUCAGCACCA